rnacentral:rRNA from 1 species
CUUGCUGUGGUACUCGAGUGGCGAACGGGUGAGUAACACGUGGGUGAUCUGCCCUGUACUUCGGGAUAAGCUUGGGAAACUGGGUCUAAUACCGGAUAGGAAUCACAUGUGGGUGUGUGGUUGGAAAGCUUUUGCGGUAUGGGAUGAGCUCGCGGCCUAUCAGCUUGUUGGUGGGGUAAUGGCCUACCAAGGCGUCGACGGGUAGCCGGCCUGAGAGGGUGUACGGCCACAUUGGGACUGAGAUACGGCCCAGACUCCUACGGGAGGCAGCAGUGGGGAAUAUUGCACAAUGGGCGCAAGCCUGAUGCAGCGACGCCGCGUGGGGGAUGACGGCCUUCGGGUUGUAAACUCCUUUCGUCAGGGACGAAGCGAAAGUGACGGUACCUGGAUAAGAAGCACCGGCUAACUACGUGCCAGCAGCCGCGGUAAUACGUAGGGUGCGAGCGUUGUCCGGAAUUACUGGGCGUAAAGAGCUCGUAGGUGGUUUGUCGCGUCGUUUGUGUAAGUCCACGGCUUAACUGUGGGAUGGCAGGCGAUACGGGCAUAACUUGAGUGCUGUAGGGGAGACUGGAAUUCCUGGUGUAGCGGUGAAAUGCGCAGAUAUCAGGAGGAACACCGAUGGCGAAGGCAGGUCUCUGGGCAGUAACUGACGCUGAGGAGCGAAAGCAUGGGUAGCGAACAGGAUUAGAUACCCUGGUAGUCCAUGCCGUAAACGGUGGGCGCUAGGUGUGAGUCCCUUCCACGGGGUUCGUGCCGUAGCUAACGCAUUAAGCGCCCCGCCUGGGGAGUACGGCCGCAAGGCUAAAACUCAAAGGAAUUGACGGGGGCCCGCACAAGCGGCGGAG